rnacentral:rRNA from 1 species
UAACAUCCGGAAACGGGUGCUAUACCGCAUAGUUUCUUGAUCGCAUGAUCGGGAAAGGAAAGACGGCCUUUGUGCUGUCGCUUAUGGAUGGACCCGCGGCGUAUUAGUUAGUUGGUGAGGUAACGGCUCACCAAGACGAUGAUACGUAGCCGACCUGAGAGGGUGAUCGGCCACAUUGGGACUGAGACACGGCCCAAACUCCUACGGGAGGCAGCAGUAGGGAAUCUUCCGCAAUGGACGAAAGUCUGACGGAGCAACGCCGCGUGAGUGAAGAAGGGUUUUUUCCGGAUCGUAAAACUCUGUUGUCAGAGAAGAACAAGUUGGAGAGUAACUGCUCCAGCCUUGACGGUAUCUGACCAGAAAGCCACGGCUAACUACGUGCCAGCAGCCGC